AGGGCCUUUGAAGUCUAUGGCAUAGGACUCGUCUCUUCCCAAACUACAUUUCCCAGAGUUCUGUGCUGUUCCCAGAAAACACUGUUCCCUCUUUUCCUCUUUUCCCUGUUCCUAAUGGUGAGAGGCUAUUAAUUUACAAUGGAAAGGCAAGGCAGUCACUAAGGCAGCCUUUUUGCUUUGCUUUUUUCAGUUUUCCUUCCUUGCACUGAAUAUGAAACUGACUUUGGGAGCCUUCAGAGAUUUAUAAAACUAAAACAAAGAAGUAUGGGAAAGCAGGCUCCAUUAAUUACUUCUGACAGCAGAUUUCUCCUGUGUACAUGAUGCAUGGAAGAUUCAGAGAGGGAGGUCCACCAAAUAUGAAAGAAAGAACCUUCUUGGACCUUACAUUUUCAACAUUUGUUGUCAUAGUUUUUAUACAUCAUGCCUAAUUUUUUAGGGGUCAUAUACCAACGGUGGAAAAUCUUAAGCCAAUUUUCUUUUAAAUCUGAAGAGCUGUUCUUGAAAGACAAAACAGGACAGAAGGAUUAAGGAAAAGCAUCAAAUAUUGAAAGCAUUGACUACAAAAACAUUGACUACCCAAAAAAUUGACUACUUGUUUUGGGUCCAGGUUACCUACAGGAGCGCAUUCUCCUGUACAAUAUGCCAGAAACACUUAGUUCCUACACCAGCCUGCCAGAAACUGACUGGCAACCAUCACCCAGAGGACCUUUUCAUCAGCUGCCCCAAGCCUGUGGAAUGACGUGCCUGAAGAGAUUUGACAGCUAAAUCAGCUGUUGGAAUUUAAGACACAACUGAAGGCUCAUCUUUUCCAGCAGGCCUACCCAGUCAAUUUUAGGUCGUGAUUUUUAAUCUGUAGAUUUUAACUUGUAUUUUAAAUCGGUGUCUCUUGUUGUAUGUCUUUUAAUAGUGUUUUAUCUUUUAUUUUAAUAAUGCUGUAUCAUAUCUCAAGCCACAGGGAGAGGUGGGUAAUAAUGAUUAUUGUUGUUAUAUUAAACUUGUGCUUUUAACAACACUACACGUUUAUGAGGCCCUUUAUGCAUACAAAAUUGUAUGUUUUUGAUGCUGCUUGGAAAGCAUAGGACAAAGUAUCUUCCUCCAUCCCAAAUGCCAUUACUGUGGCCUCUGGGGGACAGAACAGUCAGUAUCUGCUGAACGUAACCCCUUUCACAACCGCCACCCCCUUUUCCUUUUGUGUCUAAAGAUUGCAAGCCUGGGGGUAAGGAUCUUUCAAAUUGGCAGCGGUGUAAGUGCUUGUAUUAUCUGCUUCCAUCAUGGCUGAGGAGUCAGGGUUCCAAAAAUACAGUGUUCUUCACCAGAUAUUAGUAUGGAAAAACUUCUAGAGGUUCAUCUUAUGAUAAUUUCUGUGAUAUAUCUGAUGCCUACAUAAUUUUACUAUUAAUCAUGUCAGAAACAACUUUAGGUUAGCAACCCAACCUUCAGGUGAGCAGUCCUGCCGGCACAAGGGUUUAACCCAUUGCGCCACCGGGGGGUUUGCAAAUUGUUUGUUUACUUCAGACACACAGAAAAGUCACCACAUACAGGUAGUAUGGAAAUGACAUUGGCACAUCUACUGAAUUUGCUAGUAUUUUAUGAACAGUAACACAAAUGGUUCCAUGUUCCAUGAAUGUAGUUAAAUGGCACAUAAUAUAAAACAAGGUAACGUUAUGACAUCUGCUCUAUGUUCAGCCACUGAUGUAUGCUUACACAUCAACAAGAUAAUAUGAGAUUGAAAAGAACCAUAUAUAUUUUCCUUAAUAUUGUACUCACCAAUUGCAUUUUGCUUUCCGUGUUGUGAUAGAAAAUCUUUCCCUUAAAAAAUGAAAUUGGUACAUAUUACAAAAUUCCCUUUUACUGUGACCUUUGCAAAGCCUUUACAAAACAGUAUUUUGGAAAGGAUGAUCUUGUGCAAGAUGUGCACCAAAAUAUUUCUUGUGCAGCACAGGGGAAAGGAAAGAUGUGGCAGUUAGAAGUCCACUAAACUUAACAUGUAUGCAAACAAAAUGCUAUUGUUUUCAUAAUUUUAUAAAGAUCUCUCAGCAAGCAUUAUGUACAUAAAAAUUCAAUAAAAGCACAAAAUAUAAUCUAA